GCAGGUGGAGGUAACCAGGGAGCUUCUAACACCGGGGGCGGAACAACCACCCAGGGAACAGUUGACAGCGAUUCAAACACGGCAACUACCGCGUCCUCUGACAGUUCCAAUUCCGGUA